rnacentral:rRNA from 1 species
UCAACGGCCGCGGUACCCUAACCGUGCAAAGGUAGCGCAAUCACCUGUCCCCUAAUUGAGGACUAGUAUGAACGGCUAAAUGAGGGCCCAACUGUCUCCUAGACUAGAUCAAUGAAAUUGACCCUACAGUACAAACGCUGUAAUAAAGACAUAAGACGAAAAGACCCUAUGGAGCUUUAAAUUAAUAUGCUAUCAAAUAACCUUAAACUUGCCCUAGUAUACAUUUUUAGUUGGGGCAACUACGGAGCAAAAUAAAAACUCCAUGACAAGCACAUAAACCGCGCACGCCCAGGCCGCCACGCCACACUAAUGCCAGACCCAGUAUAACUGAACAUCGAACCAAGUUACCCUAGGGAUAACAGCGCCAUCUUCCCCCUAGAGCCCAUAUCAACGGGGAGGCUUACGACCUCGAUGUUGGAUCAGGACCCCCUGGCGGUGUAGCCGCUGCCAAAGGUUCGUUUGUUCAACGACUAACGUCCU